rnacentral:rRNA from 1 species
GCUUAGGAAUCUGCCUAUUAGUGGGGGACAACAUUCCGAAAGGAAUGCUAAUACCGCAUACGUCCUACGGGAGAAAGCAGGGGACCUUCGGGCCUUGCGCUAAUAGAUGAGCCUAAGUCGGAUUAGCUAGUUGGUGGGGUAAAGGCCUACCAAGGCGACGAUCUGUAGCGGGUCUGAGAGGAUGAUCCGCCACACUGGGACUGAGACACGGCCCAGACUCCUACGGGAGGCAGCAGUGGGGAAUAUUGGACAAUGGGGGGAACCCUGAUCCAGCCAUGCCGCGUGUGUGAAGAAGGCCUUUUGGUUGUAAAGCACUUUAAGCGAGGAGGAGGCUACUAGUAUUAAUACUACUGGAUAGUGGACGUUACUCGCAGAAUAAGCACCGGCUAACUCUGUGCCAGCAGCCGCGGUAAUACAGAGGGUGCGAGCGUUAAUCGGAUUUACUGGGCGUAAAGCGUGCGUAGGCGGCUGAUUAAGUCGGAUGUGAAAUCCCUGAGCUUAACUUAGGAAUUGCAUUCGAUACUGGUCAGCUAGAGUAUGGGAGAGGAUGGUAGAAUUCCAGGUGUAGCGGUGAAAUGCGUAGAGAUCUGGAGGAAUACCGAUGGCGAAAGGCAGCCAUCUGGCCUAAUACUGACGCUGAGGUACGAAAGCAUGGGGGAGCAAACAGGAUUAGAUACGCCUGCUAGUCCAUGCCGUAAACGAUUGUCU